rnacentral:lncRNA from 1 species
UUCGCCCAGCUCACCUCACGAGUUCGUGUGAGACUGGGAGGGCGCGUGCAAUCACGUUCUCGCCCCACAUCGGAUUCCAGGCUUCCAGCUGACUGCCAGUCGGGUCAGAGUCCACGCUUCCCAAUAGACAUUCAUUUUUUCCGUCCAGCCUGGAAUCCCAACGUUUAUCUUGACAGCGAUUUUACAAUUCUGCUCACCUAAUAUUCGGGGGUCUGUCCGUUUAACCGAGGGUGUUAUGGUCAAUAAGGGGGUCGUGCAAUCUGUAACUAAGCUGUAAUGCUUUUUGUCUUGUAGCGAGAAAGAGCAUUUCACUUACUUCCAUAAAGUAUGGGCCCUACGUAAUAGCAUUUCUUCCCGUUUAGGUGUUGUCGGCAAUGGCUGUAAACACACGUUUUCUUUUUAAUCCUGCCUCUU